UACGAAGGGGGCUAGCGUUGCUCGGAAUUACUGGGCGUAAAGCGCACGUAGGCGGAUUGUUAAGUCGGGGGUGAAAUCCUGGAGCUCAACUCCAGAACUGCCUUCGAAACUGGCGAUCUUGAGUCCGGGAGAGGUGAGUGGAACUGCGAGUGUAGAGGUGAAAUUCGUAGAUAUUCGCAAGAACACCAGUGGCGAAGGCGGCUCACUGGCCCGGUACUGACGCUGAGGAGCGAAAGCGUGGGGAGCGAUCCGG
rnacentral:rRNA from 1 species